AUUGAACGCUGGCGGCAUGCUUUACACAUGCAAGUCGAACGGCAGCACGGGUGCUUGCACCCGGUGGCGAGUGGCGAACGGGUGAGUAAUAUAUCGGAACAUGUCCGGAAGUGGGGGAUAACGUACCGAAAGGUACGCUAAUACCGCAUAUGCCCUGAGGGGGAAAGGGGGGGAUCGCAAGACCUCUCGCUUUCGGAGUGGCCGAUAUCGGAUUAGCUAGUAGGUGAGGUAAAGGCUCACCUAGGCGACGAUCCGUAGCUGGUCUGAGAGGAUGACCAGCCACACUGGGACUGAGACACGGCCCAGACUCCGACGGGAGGCAGCAGUGGGGAAUUUUGGACAAUGGGCGCAAGCCUGAUCCAGCCAUGCCGCGUGAGUGAAGAAGGCCUUCGGGUUGUAAAGCUCUUUCAGCUGGAAAGAAAUCGUACUUAUUAAUACUAGGUGCGGAUGACGGUACCAGCAGAAGAAGCACCGGCUAACUACGUGCCAGCAGCCGCAGUAAAAC
rnacentral:rRNA from 1 species